rnacentral:misc_RNA from 1 species
CCCACUGGCACGUGAUGCAACCAACGUAUGGAUGGGCCCAGUGAUUAAAGUGAAUUUCUGUGGGGUCAGCUAGCCAAAAAUCGAUAGGUUUGUGGCCUAUCCAAGGAACGUGUCCUCCAGCUGGAAACGUGCGCAGCCUGCCGAGUUACCAAUUUUCCCAUUUUGUGGACCCAUAGAAAAGUCGGAGGAAAAUCUCAACCUACGCAGGGUUAUAUAACCGCACAACAUACAACACCGCCCACGCAAUUUUGCAGCUAAAUCGAUAGACUAAAAACCGACAUGACGAGCUUCUAAUUGGAUUGCACGCGAGGGAUUAACCAGCACAGGGAUUAAAGAGGAGGCACCAGUGACCACCCACUUGCUACUUGGAAUUACAGGGUAGUCGAGCGUUGAGAAAUGGGCAAGAAAAAGGUGCCCGUUGAGGACCUGGUGGUUCCGCCGCAGGACACCCGGAUAUGCGGCACCAUAUGCAUCUGCCAGAUGACCCUGGUGCUCAGUUCCGUGGCUCUGGUCUACCUCACGGUUGCCAUAUACAUGCCCUCCACCAGGGCCUUCAAAAGCGGCAUUGAUCCCACGCCGGUUAUGUGCACCACCACACGGGCGGUGAACAAGGACAACUGCGAGUGGGGCAGCUGUGGCGAGUGGUGUCUGAGCAAGACUUCCGGAGCCUGCAUCCAGAUCUACGUGAAUCUACGUAGCAAUGGCAGCAAUCUCAUAUUCCAGAACUGCACCAACUCGGCCAAUAAAACGUGCUACGGCAUCGACCAGGAUCGGGCGGACAAGGCCAGGUGCAUCAAUGAUGAGUGCAAGAAUCUCACGGGAACCUUCAACUGCACCGCUGGCCAGUGCCUGAACAUCACGGAUGCCUUCGAGUGUAUCUUCCACAAUAGUGAUGCGCCAGUCAAGUGUUCCGGCAGGCGGGGAAAGAUCAACUGCAUGGACAUCAGCGGAUUGUACUCCUGCAGUCGAGGAACCUGCCGGAAGAUCAGGACGCCCUACAACUGCGACCGGAGGUGUGUGGACAUACCCACCCGGAACAAGAACGUGGUGGUCCUCAGCGGGGACAAGGUCUACCUGUCGCAGUGCCAGAAUGCCAUCAAUGCCGAAACCCUGGAGGAGGUGUGGAAUGAAUCCAGCGACAAUGUGGCCAUGACAUCGUGCUACUUCAUCAGGCACACCUCGGACCAGGUGGAUGCGGUGGACUGCAUCAAUGGCUCCACUUUGGAGACCAACAUGCUCAGCGAUCUGACGAACUUCACAUAUCUGAGCCACCUGCAUGUGUCGGUGGCCACUCCAGUGCCGGAGAUAGCACCCCCCGAUGUGGACCUAACCAUUUCCAACGAGUCCAAGCUGAUGAUCAACCUGGAGGGGUGUGUGAACACCCUGAUGGACGAGUGCAAGGAGUUCCUGAAGGACUUCGGGCGCGAUGGCAGCGAUCACAAUGCCCGGGCCCGCUUCCCGUGCUUCUAUUCGCCCGGAAAGAAGGACGUGGUGGUGGCCCGCUUCGACCUGGAGGUCACCUAUCGCCAGUUUGUGUUCGCCUCGGUGGUGCCAUCGGUUCUGUUCGUGGUCUCGUGCUCCAUCCUGAUCAUGUGCCAGACCACCGUCUACGUGGGCGACGAUGCCAAGAUGCGGUUCAAGGGAUGUGUGGACACGGAGACGGUCCUGAACAAGAACAACGUGGGCGCACCCACCAAUGGCGACAUGGGCGGGGGCGGCGGCGAUGAGGUUAUGGCCCUAUGAGAUCCGUCACUCUUUGCGGUAGCCCACAUGUGAGAGGUCUACCAGGUGUUCUAGG